rnacentral:rRNA from 1 species
AGCGAACGCUGGCGGCAGGCCUAACACAUGCAAGUCGAACGAAGUCUUCGGACUUAGUGGCGGACGGGUGAGUAACGCGUGGGAACGUACCUUUUGGUUCGGAACAACUCAGGGAAACUUGAGCUAAUACCGGAUGAGCCCUUAGGGGGAAAGAUUUAUCGCCGAAAGAGCGGCCCGCGUUAGAUUAGCUAGUUGGUGAGGUAAAGGCUCACCAAGGCUACGAUCUAUAGCUGGUCUGAGAGGAUGAUCAGCCACACUGGGACUGAGACACGGCCCAGACUCCUACGGGAGGCAUCAGUGGGGAAUCUUGCGCAAUGGGCGAAAGCCUGACGCAGCCAUGCCGCGUGAAUGAUGAAGGUCUUAGGAUUGUAAAAUUCUUUUACCAGGGACGAUAAUGACGGUACCUGGAGAAAAAGCCCCGGCUAACUUCGUGCCAGCAGCCGCCGUAAAAC